rnacentral:misc_RNA from 1 species
AUAAAAGGAUACCUUCGGGUAUACCCCAUCCGUGUCUACAUACUCUUGUUGCUUUGGCAGGCCGUGGUCGCCCACUGCAGGCUCUGCCUGCACGCGCCUGCCAGGGGACCAAACUCUGAAUGUUAGUGAUGUCUGAGUACUAUAUAAUAGUUA